rnacentral:rRNA from 1 species
GACAGAGGUGUCAAGCGUUGCUCGGAAUUACUGGGCGUAAAGCGCGUUUCGGUGGUUCGUUAAGUCAUGCGUGAAAUCUCUUGGCCUAACCAAGAAACUGCGCGUGAUACUGGCGGACUAGAGGAUGGGAGAGGAUAGCGGAAUUCCUGGUGUAGCGGUGAAAAUGCGUAGAUAUCAGGAGGAACACCUGUGGCGAAGGCGGCUAUCUGGUCCAUUUCUGACACUUACACGCG